UACAGAGGGUGCAAGCGUUGUUCGGAAUUAUUGGGCGUAAAGGGCUCGUAGGCGGUCUGUCGCGUCGGGAGUGAAAACUCAGGGCUUAACCCUGAGCCUGCUUCCGAUACGGGCAGACUAGAGGUAUGCAGGGGAGAACGGAAUUCCUGGUGUAGCGGUGAAAUGCGCAGAUAUCAGGAGGAACACCGGUGGCGAAGGCGGUUCUCUGGGCAUUACCUGACGCUGAGGAGCGAAAGUGUGGGGAGCGAACAGG
rnacentral:rRNA from 1 species